AGAACGAACGCUGGCGGCGUGGAUAAGACAUGCAAGUCGAACGCGACUUAUCUGGUUAGCAAUAACCCGGUAAGUUGAGUGGCGAAAGGGUGCGUAACACGUGGGGAUUUACCAAGAAGUGGGGAAUAGCUCGACGAAAGUCGAAUUAAUACCGCAUACGAUCGCAAGAUCAAAGCCGGGGACCGCAAGGCCUGGCGCUUUUUGAGAAGCCCGCGGCCCAUCAGCUAGUUGGCGGGGUAACGGCCCACCAAGGCUAUGACGGGUAGCUGGUCUGAGAGGACGACCAGCCACACUGGAACUGAGACACGGUCCAGACACCUACGGGUGGCAGCAGUCGAGAAUUUUUCACAAUGGACGAAAGUCUGAUGGAGCGACGCCGCGUGGAGGAUGAAGGUUUCGGAUUGUAAACUCCUGUCACUGCAGAACAAGGAUACGCCGGUGAACAGCCGACGUAUUGAUGGUAUGCGGAGAGGAAGGGACGGCUAACUCUGUGCCAGCAGCCGUA
rnacentral:rRNA from 1 species